GAUGAACGCUGGCAGAAUGCUUAACACAUGCAAGUCUUUGGUGCAGCUGUGCUUGCUCCGCCUAGCCAGGGCGGACGGGUGAGUAACGCGUCAGGAACUUGCCCUGCCUUCAGGGCUAACAGACGGAAACGACUGCUGAGCCCUGGUCAAGUCAGGCGGUCUCCUGUCCAGCCUGAUGAUAAGAGAUGCUGCAGGAGAGCCUUGCGUCCUAUUAGCUUGUUGGUGGGGUACCGGCCCACCAAGGGAAUGAUAGGUAGCCGGCCUGAGAGGGUGGACGGCCAAAAGGGGUAUGAGAGACGGCCGUAACGCCUACGGGAGGCAGCAGUGGAGAAUAUCGGACAAAGGGCGCAACAGUGAUCCAGGUAUUCUGUGUGUACGAUGCAGGUUUUCGGAAUGUAAAGUGCUGUAAGUAGGGAAGAAAAAAAUGACGGUACCUGCAGAAGAAGCGACGGCUAAAUACGUG
rnacentral:rRNA from 1 species